UGGGGAAUCUUGCACAAUGGAGGAAACUCUGAUGCAGCGACGCCGCGUGAGCGAUGAAGCCCUUCGGGGUGUAAAGCUCUUUCGGCAGGAACGAUAAUGACGGUACCUGCAGAAGAAGCUGCGGCUAACUACGUGCCAGCAGCCGCGGUAAUACGUAGGCAGCAAGCGUUGUUCGGAAUUACUGGGCGUAAAGAGUGUGUAGGCGGUUCUCUAAGUUCCGUGUGAAAUCUCCCGGCUUAACUGGGAGGGUGCGCGGGAAACUGGAGGGCUCGAGUAUGGGAGAGGAAAGCGGAAUUCCUGGUGUAGCGGUGAAAUGCGUAGAUAUCAGGAGGAACACCUGCGGUGUAGACAGCUUUCUGGACCAUCACUGACGCUGAGACACGAAAGCGUGGGUAGCAAACAGGAUUAGAUACCCUGGUAGUCCACGCUGUAAACGAUGUGUGCUAGACGUUGGGGAGCCUAGCUCUUCGGUGUCGCCGCUAACGCUGUAAGCACACCGCCUGGGGAGUACGGCCGCAAGG
rnacentral:rRNA from 1 species